UACAGAGGUCUCAAGCGUUUGUUCGGAUUCAUUGGGCGUAAAGGGUGUGUAGGUGGCGCGCUAAGUCGGGUGUGAAAUUUCGGAGCUUAACUCCGAAACUGCAUUCGAUACUGGCGUGCUUGAGGACUGGAGAGGAGACUGGAAUUCAUGGUGUAGCAGUGAAAUGCGUAGAGAUCAUGAGGAAGACCAGUGGCGAAGGCGGGUCUCUGGACAGUUCCUGACGCUGAGGCACGAAGGCCAGGGGAGCAAAACGGG
rnacentral:rRNA from 1 species